CCUACGGGAGGCAGCAGUGAGGAAUAUUGGUCAAUGGACGAGAGUCUGAACCAGCCAAGUAGCGUGAAGGAUGACUCCCCUAUGGGUUGUAAACUUCUUUUAUAUGGGAAUAAAAUGUUCCACGUGUGGGAUUUUGUAUGUACCAUAUGAAUAAGGAUCGGCUAACUCCGUGCCAGCAGCCGCGGUAAUACGGAGGAUCCGAGCGUUAUCCGGAUUUAUUGGGUUUAAAGGGAGCGUAGGUGGAUUGUUAAGUCAGUUGUGAAAGUUUGCGGCUCAACCGUAAAAUUGCAGUUGAAACUGGCAGUCUUGAGUACAGUAGAGGUGGGCGGAAUUCGUGGUGUAGCGGUGAAAUGCUUAGAUAUCACGAAGAACUCCGAUUGCGAAGGCAGUUCACUGGACUGCAACUGACACUGAGGCUCGAAAGUGUGGGUAUCAAACAGGAUUAGAUACCCGAGUAGUC
rnacentral:rRNA from 1 species